rnacentral:rRNA from 1 species
UUACCGGGGGAGAGACGCAGGCAGCAUGCCCUAAAGAAGUCAUGAUCAAGGUGCUUGCACCUUUCAAGCGAGUGGCGAACGGGUGAGUAACACGUGGAUAACCUGCCUCAAGGCUGGGGAUAACAUUUGGAAACAGAUGCUAAUACCGAAUAAAACUUAGUAUCGCAUGAUACAAAGUUGAAAGGCGCUACGGCGUCACCUAGAGAUGGGUCCGCGGUGCAUUAGUUAGUUGGUGGGGUAAAGGCCUACCAAGACAAUGAUGCAUAGCCGAGUUGAGAGACUGAUCGGCCACAUUGGGACUGAGACACGGCCCAAACUCCUACGGGAGGCUGCAGUAGGGAAUCUUCCACAAUGGGCGCAAGCCUGAUGGAGCAACGCCGCGUGUGUGAUGAAGGCUUUCGGGUCGUAAAGCACUGUUGUAUGGGAAGAAAUGCUAGAAUAGGGAAUGAUUCUAGUUCGACGGUACCAUACCAGAAAGGGACGGCUAAAUACGUGCCAGCAGCCGCGGUAAUACGUAUGUCCCGAGCGUUAUCCGGAUUUAUUGGGCGUAAAGCGAGCGCAGACGGUUGAUUAAGUCUGAUGUGAAAGCCCGGAGCUCAACUCCGGAAUGGCAUUGGAAACUGGUUAACUUGAGUGUUGUAGAGGUAAGUGGAACUCCAUGUGUAGCGGUGGAAUGCGUAGAUAUAUGGAAGAACACCAGUGGCGAAGGCGGCUUACUGGACAACAACUGACGUUGAGGCUCGAAAGUGUGGGUAGCAAACAGGAUUAGAUACCCUGGUAGUCCACACCGUAAACGAUGAAUACUAGGUGUUAGGAGGUUUCCGCCUCUUAGUGCCGAAGCUAACGCAUUAAGUAUUCCGCCUGGGGAGUACGACCGCAAGGUUGAAACUCAAAGGAAUUGACGGGGACCCGCACAAGCGGUGGAGCAUGUGGUUUAAUUCGAAGCAACGCGAAGAACCUUACCAGGUCUUGACAUCCUUUGAAGCUUCUAGAGAUAGAAGUGUUCUCUUCGGAGACAAAGUGACAGGUGGUGCAUGGUCGUCGUCAGCUCGUGUCGUGAGAUGUUGGGUUAAGUCCCGCAACGAGCGCAACCCUUAUUGUUAGUUGCCAGCAUUCAGUUGGGCACUCUAGCGAGACUGCCGGUGACAAACCGGAAGAAAGGCGGGGACGACUUCAGAUCAUCAUGCC